UGCUUUUUCCAUGAGAAAAAGCACAUUGCUAGUGCUUACAACAUCUCAAGUGGGAGCAACAUAAGCUCAGGUGGUUCAACCAACGUAUCAACUGAACAGUACGUGAGCGCUGUCAAAGUAACUGAAGCUAUGCCGAAGCACGUGUACUUUGUGUAGCUUCUGUGUAUGCAAAAGGCUGCUUUUAUGUCACGUUUUUAAUGAGGAAUAAAUGCUUUUAAUGUGCU
rnacentral:lncRNA from 1 species